rnacentral:rRNA from 1 species
UUCCUACGGGGCGCAGCAGUGAGGAAUAUUGGUCAAUGGCCGAGAGGCUGAACCAGCCAAGUCGCGUGAGGGAAGACGGCCCUACGGGUUGUAAACCUCUUUUGUCGGGGAGCAAAGAGAGUCACGUGUGACUCAUUGAGAGUACCCGAAGAAAAAGCAUCGGCUAACUCCGUGCCAGCAGCCGCGGUAAUACGGAGGAUGCGAGCGUUAUCCGGAUUUAUUGGGUUUAAAGGGUGCGUAGGCGGUCCGUUAAGUCAGCGGUAAAAUUGCGGGGCUCAACCCCGUCGAGCCGUUGAAACUGGCAG